AUGAUGCUCAUCUUUGGACUGAUGCUGCUGCUGCUGCAAACUGCUGCAUGUCUGGAUCAGCUCUGCACAUUUGAUGAACCAUAUUCGAUCAAACAAUGUUACGCAGCUCUGGGACACAAACUCAGUCUGCAGAUGAUGCUGAACCCUUCAUAUACUGACCUUUAUUUGUAUAAGACGUUAAAUGAUGGCAGUAGACUAAAAGUUUUUAGCAUAGAGAAAAAUAAAAAGUAUGAUUAUGAAUCCAUCAUAUUUGAGUACUUAAAAAAUGUGCCUCUGAUCAUAAAUACACAUGAAUCCAUCAGAAACAGAUCUGAGUUCUUCUUUGAUAAUAUGACUCUGACCAUAAACAAUGUGACCAAACCAGAUUCAGGAAGAUACACAUCAUUUGUCAUUGAGAUAGAUAUGGCAAUGGAAAGUGAUCUUCAAGUGAUUGUUGAAGCUCCUAUUGGCUCAGUGGAAGUGUCAAUCAUCUGCUCCUCCAAUCAGACUACAGUGUUCUGCUCCUCUGAGGGAGAUCUGAUCAUCUACAGCUGGACUCUGAAUGGAAAAAUACUACAAGAAGGAUUUAAUUUUUUAAGCAGCAGCAUUGAUCUGGAUAAGGGAACUGAUGGAAACAUCAGCUGCAGUGUGAAGAACAACAUCAGUCACGCACAGAAGACCAUUACACUCAAACCCUGUCCUGAGCCAACUACUGCAGCUGUGACCUCUAGUGUGACCUCUAGUUUGACCUCUAGUUUGACCUCUAGUGUGACCUCUAGUGUGACCUCACAGGCAUCAGAAAAUGGUACAAGUUUCUCAUCAGCUGGUAUGAAUGUCACCACGAAUGUCACUCUGAGCUCUGAAGAGAGAUGGAAGUUUUUACUCUAUAUGAUUGCUUCUGGCUGCGUUGCUCUGAUCCUGAUUCUGCUGUUCAUCACCGUAUGUUACGUUUACAAGAAAAAACAGCAAAAGUCGACAACAGCCGCUGCUGGAGAUACGGAGCUCAUAUACACUAAUAUACCUAAGAGAAAGGAUGAAAAGAAGAAAACAGGUAAGAAACUCAAUGAAGCUCAGAGAUCUACUUUAGACUACUCUGUAAAACAACAUGGUCUCAGUCAUUGAAUUAGUCAUGUCACUGCCAAGAUCUCAAGGUCAUUCAGUCAUUAUUACUAAUUGGAAACAAAAACCUUCUAGUUAAUUUUACGUUGCAAAUUGUUACGUGUUGUUGCUCUUUCAUGACUAAAAGAAAAGAUUAUGUAAAAACUAGAUUUCUGUCUUUUAAAAUCAUUUAGUUUAAAAAGUUUGAAAGCUUUUUUAUAGAUUAAGAUAAUGUUUGAAACACUAAGACAGUAAGUGUCUUGUAAGUGUUCAAAUCUUUUUUGUCUCUUUUGCAGUUUAUUCUUUUGCCCUGAAUCCGUCGGUCAGUUUGUUACUGUGUUUUUCCCCUUUUACACAAAUAGAGAACUGACUCAGAGAAACUGUCAUCAU
ensembl:lncRNA